UGAGAGACAGCAGUUGGCAAGACAGUGAGAGACAGCAAGAGAUGGCAAGUGACAGUUAUUGUUAAGAUGACAAAUGGAGAGAUGGCAAGAAAUAGAGAAGCAGUCAGUGAUGGAGGCUGCAAGAGUUGUAACACUAACCAAAGGCUCUUUUUAGAAUCAUCGUUUUCCCUGGCAGGUGGUACAGCCAAGCAGACAGGCAAGUAAGUGGCCAUACUGCUACUGCCUCAUGUAGGAUCCGGCAGGCUGGUGGGUUAUCAGUCCUCACGUGGGACCCUCCCACCAUGGCAGCUGAGCACAUCCAAGCUGGGGGAUCCUGAAGAGACCUUCACCUGGGUGCCACGUGGAAGAUUGGCCAGCACCAUUUUGACUCCUGUGGAUGGCACCCAAACUGCACCUGGUCACCUGUCUACAUUCAGAUUUAGAUGAAAGCCACACCAUGGAGGCAGCCAGAGGCCCAUGGGAGAUGUCUGGAUUCGCAGAGGAAUAGCUCCAUGUGAUGCAAACCUUGACUAAUGGGAACAGGAAAAGGGAGGAAACCAGGAAGAUAAAUCUCCCUCCCUUCUCAUUGCUCCUUGCAACCCUUCCCACUUGAAGCAUGACCACAUUUAAUGAACAACCUGCUGUGUCUCUUGGAAGCUUGCUGCAAGGCAGCAAUCAGCACAAUAACAUUGUAUUGUAUCUUCCUCUGCUUCACUUCUCUUCCUCCCUCACCCUCACUGCCCUGAGCUGGCACAUCCCAAAGAAAGCAUUACCACAUUAA
rnacentral:lncRNA from 1 species